CGACCCCUAAGGCGAGGCCGAAAGGCGUAGUCGAUGGGAAAAUGGUUAAUAUUCCAUUACUUCUGUGUAAUGCGAUGAGAGGACGGAGAAGGCUAAAUCAGCCUGGCGUUGGUUGUCCAGGUGAAAGGAUGUAGGCAUGUAUCUUAGGCAAAUCCGGGGUACUCUAUGCUGAGAUCUGAUAGCAAGCUGUACUUGUACAGCGAAGUGGUUGAUGCCAUGCUUCCAGGAAAAGUCUCUAAGCUUCAGUUACACAGGAAUCGUACCCGAAACCGACACAGGUGGUCAGGUCGAGUAGACCAAGGCGCUUGAGAGAACUCUGCUGAAGGAACUAGGCAAAAUGGUACCGUAACUUCGGGAGAAGGUACGCUGUUGUUGGUGAUGGAACUCGCUUCCUGAGCUGACGACAGCCGCAGAAACCAGGCCGCUGCAACUGUUUAUUAAAAACAUAGCACUCUGCAAACACGAAAGUGGACGUAUAGGGUGUGAUGCCUGCCCGGUGCUGGAAGGUUAAUUGAUGGGGUUAGCGUAAGCGAAGCUCUUGAUCGAAGCCCCAGUAAACGGCGGCCGUAACUAUAACGGUCCUAAGGUAGCGAAAUUCCUUGUCGGGUAAGUUCCGACCUGCACGAAUGGCAUAAUGAUGGCGGCGCUGUCUCCAGCAGAGGCUCAGUGAAAUCGAAAUCGCUGUGAAGAUGCAGUGUACCCGCGGCUAGACGGAAAGACCCCGUGAACCCUUACUGCAGCUUGACACUGAACUUUGACCUUACUUGUGUAGGAUAGGUGGGAGGCUUUGAAGCUGGAACGCUAGUUCCAGUGGAGCCGUCCUUGAAAUACCACCCUGGUAAUGUUGAGGUUCUAACUCUGUCCCGUGAUCCGGGACGAGGACCGUGUCUGGUGGGUAGUUUGACUGGGGCGGUCUCCUCCUAAAGAGUAACGGAGGAGUACGAAGGUGCGCUCAGCGUGGUCGGAAAUCACGCGUAGAGUAUAAAGGCAAAAGCGCGCUUAACUGCGAGACCCACAAGUCGAGCAGGUACGAAAGUAGGUCUUAGUGAUCCGGUGGUUCUGUAUGGAAGGGCCAUCGCUCAACGGAUAAAAGGUACUCUGGGGAUAACAGGCUGAUACCGCCCAAGAGUUCAUAUCGACGGCGGUGUUUGGCACCUCGAUGUCGGCUCAUCUCAUCCUGGGGCUGAAGCAGGUCCCAAGGGUAUGGCUGUUCGCCAUUUAAAGAGGUACGCGAGCUGGGUUUAGAACGUCGUGAGACAGUUCGGUCCCUAUCUACCGUGGGCGCUGGAAAUUUGAGAGGAUCUGCUCCUAGUACGAGAGGACCAGAGUGGACGAACCUCUGGUGUACCGGUUGUGACGCCAGUCGCAUCGCCGGGUAGCUAUGUUCGGAAGGGAUAACCGCUGAAAGCAUCUAAGCGGGAAGCCUACCUCAAGAUAAGAUUUCCCUAGGACUUUAUGUCCUCUAAAGAGCCGUUCGAGACUAGGACGUUGAUAGGUUGGAUGUGGAAGCAUAGUGAUAUGUGAAGCUGACCAAUACUAAUUGCUCGUGAGGCUUGAUCA
rnacentral:rRNA from 1 species